CUCCUACUCCCUCCAUCCCACAAUUCUUGUCGAAAUAUUACAUGUAUCUAGACGCUUUUUAAGAAUAGAUACAUCUAUAUUUGGGCAAAUUUGAGACAAGAAUUAUGGAACGGAGGGAGUAUGUA
rnacentral:pre_miRNA from 1 species